rnacentral:rRNA from 1 species
AGAGGGAUAGCCCAGAGAAAUUUGGAUUAAUACCUCAUAGCAUCAUGUUCCGGCAUCGGGAUAUGAUUAAAGUCACAAUGGUGGAAGAUGAGCAUGCGUCCCAUUAGCUAGUUGGUAAGGUAACGGCUUACCAAGGCUACGAUGGGUAGGGGUCCUGAGAGGGAGAUCCCCCACACUGGUACUGAGACACGGACCAGACUCCUACGGGAGGCAGCAGUGAGGAAUAUUGGUCAAUGGACGCAAGUCUGAACCAGCCAUGCCGCGUGCAGGAUGACGGUCCUAUGGAUUGUAAACUGCUUUUGUACGGGAAGAAACACUCCUACGUGUAGGAGCUUGACGGUACCGUAAGAAUAAGGAUCGGCUAACUCCGUGCCAGCAGCCGCGGUAAUACGGAGGAUCCAAGCGUUAUCCGGAAUCAUUGGGUUUAAAGGGUCCGUAGGCGGUUUGGUAAGUCAGUGGUGAAAGCCCAUCGCUCAACGGUGGAACGGCCAUUGAUACUGCCGAACUUGAAUUAUUGGGAAGUAACUAGAAUAUGUAGUGUAGCGGUGAAAUGCUUAGAGAUUACAUGGAAUACCAAUUGCGAAGGCAGGUUACUACCAAUGGAUUGACGCUGAUGGACGAAAGCGUGGGUAGCGAACAGGAUUAGAUACCCUGGUAGUCCACGCCGUAAACGAUGGAUACUAGCUGUUGGUGGCAACAUCAGUGGCUAAGCGAAAGUGAUAAGUAUCCCACCUGGGGAGUACGAACGCAAGUUUGAAACUCAAAGGAAUUGACGGGGGCCCGCACAAGCGGUGGAGCAUGUGGUUUAAUUCGAUGAUACGCGAGGAACCUUACCAAGGCUUAAAUGCAGACUGACCGAUUUGGAAACAGAUCUUUCGCAAGACAGUUUACAAGGUGCUGCAUGGUUGUCGUCAGCUCGUGCCGUGAGGUGUCAGGUUAAGUCCUAUAACGAGCGCAACCCCUGUUGUUAGUUGCCAGCGAGUAGUGUCGGGAACUCUAACAAGACUGCCAGUGCAAACUGUGAGGAAGGUGGGGAUGACGUCAAAUCAUCACGGCCCUUACGCCUUGGGCUACACACGUGCUACAAUGGCCGGUACAGAGAGCAGCCACCCCGCGAGGGGGAGCGAAUCUAUAAAGCCGGUCACAGUUCGGAUCGGAGUCUGCAACUCGACUCCGUGAAGCUGGAAUCGC